rnacentral:rRNA from 1 species
UACGGGGGGGGCAAGCGUUGUUCGGAAUUACUGGGCGUAAAGGCUCGUAGGCGGCCAACUAAGUCAGACGUGAAAUCCCUCGGCUUAACCGGGGAACUGCGUCUGAUACUGGAUGGCUUGAGUUUGGGAGAGGGAUGCGGAAUUCCAGGUGUAGCGGUGGAAAUGCGUAGAUAUCUGGAGGAACACCGGUGGCGAAGGCGGCAUCCUGGACCAACACUGACGCUGAUGAGCGAAAGCCAGGGGAGCAAACGGGG